CCCAGCAGCUGUGUGUGGCGGCUUUCGUCUUUGCCCACAUCGAGCAAGUGCAGCUCACCGGACUGUGACAAGCACCCGAAGCGUUGCGGUUUGCCUUGCGCCUUUGAUUGUGAUGUGAGAGAUCGGAACGCACUGAGACCGCCAGAUGCCAACGAAAGCCAACCAGCGGCGAGUGUUCUCUGUCAUUUUUCUCUUUACGUCUCACGUACAGCUUGGUGGCUACUGCUCGUGCCUCCUGCCACCAUCCUGUUCCGACUACGCCCGCUAGAGGGUUGGCUGCCUUAGUGAUAAUGCAGGCUGACAGCAGACAGCAAGAUGCGGUGAAAUGAUACAAGUGGCAUACAAGGUUUCAGACAUGUAACAACAUGAAACCUAUGAAACUCUGCAUUCGCAAGCAUGGCAAACAGGUGUGCCACACUAACAAAUGCCAAAGGUGCCACAGGUUUCAUGCACACAUUGGUUAUGUAUCAAUUUCAUCUGAAGCUAAGAAACAUGCACUAGUUGUGGGGAAAAAUGCCAAUAAGGGUAACACAAGGUGAGACAGCUGUUUUUGCUGUUAAAUUGGAUUAUCUAUUGCCAGGCAGUUGCUUACAAAAAGCAUUUUGUAAUGCAUAGAUUAAGUAAACUAAGUGGAAUAUUGUUAUUAUUGCACUUCAUUACCUGCACCCUUUUUUUUGCAUCAAUG